CUAAUAUUUAAAUGUAGGAUUGAGAAUGCAUCUAUAUCUAUUUUAGGAUUUGAAGUACUUAAGAUGUAAUAUAAUGGACUUAUGUUUUUCAUUUCAUCGCAACUAUUAUAAAAAUAUCUGGAUAUGAAUGACUAGAAUUUCGCCAAUGUACAUCGAACCGCAUGAACAUUUUAGCUGGUAUACGCCAGGGUCUGUGUUUAGUGGUAGUUUAGUUUUAUUGUUGCAGAAAAUAUUUUUUAAAUUGGGAGUUAAUGUAAAAAUAACCAAAACUUCGUAAAGAAUUUCGAAAGCAAAACAUAAAGGUGCCGUCAUCUUUUUGACGUUUUUGCAAAAAAGGUUUUGCAAAAACAUGCAGAGGUUUACACUCACCCCGCAGGUGGCCGGUAACAACAGCUGGUUAAUGAGUUUUUUGUUUGUUUGUUUUCAAUUUCAAUUGUUAAAACUUCUUUAUCGCUAUUAGAAAUGCUCAAAUCGCCUCUAAAAACAAGCCUUAGUGCGCAUAAAUUAGAAAUCCACCACUUCGUUUGUUUAUUUGUCUCUCCAAAGAAAUAAUAUUAAAAUGCGGAAUUCGGAAAAAUUCAGUGAACAUUUUUUUCCUGAUUGGUUUCAAGUGAAAAGUCUUUGUUAACAAAAAUAUUUUUUUCUUUUAUUAGAUUUAGUUAUAUUAAUAUUUUCUUGAC